UACGAGGGGGGCAAGCGUUGUUCGGAAUUAUUGGGCGUAAAGGGUGCGUAGGCGGUUUGACAAGUCUGAUGUGAAAUCUAUGGGCUCAACCCAUAGUCUGCAUUAGAAACUGUCGGGCUUGAGUAUGGGAGAGGUGAGUGGAAUUUCCGGUGUAGCGGUGAAAUGCGUAGAUAUCGGAAGGAACACCUGUGGCGAAAGCGGCUCACUGGACCAUUACUGACGCCUGGAUGACGACGGAAAGCGUGGG
rnacentral:rRNA from 1 species